rnacentral:rRNA from 1 species
CGGUUCUGUUUUGUUGGCUUUCUGAUACCAGAGGUAAUGAUUAAUAGGGACGACUGGGGGCAUUCGUAUUGAGACGUUAGAGGUGAAAUUCUUGGAUCGUCGCAAGACGGACUAAAGCGAAAGCAUUUGCCAAAGGUGUUUUCAUUAAUCAAGAACGAAAGUUAGAGGUUCGAAGGCGAUUAGAUACCGCUGUAGUUCUAACCAUAAAUGAUGCCAGCCAGCGAUCCGCCGAAGUUUCAUAAUUU